rnacentral:rRNA from 1 species
GCAGCGCGGGGCAACCUGGCGGCGAGUGGCGAACGGGUGUGUAAUAUAUCGGAACGUGCCCUGGAGUGGGGGAUAACGCAGCGAAAGUUGCGCUAAUACCGCAUACGAUCUAAGGAUGAAAGCGGGGGAUUCGCAAGAACCUCGUGCUCCUGGAGCGGCCGAUAUCUGAUUAGCUAGUUGGUGGGGUAAAGGCCUACCAAGGCAUCGAUCAGUAGCUGGUCUGAGAGGACGACCAGCCACACUGGAACUGAGACACGGUCCAGACUCCUACGGGAGGCAGCAGUGGGGAAUUUUGGACAAUGGGCGAAAGCCUGAUCCAGCAAUGCCGCGUGAGUGAAGAAGGCCUUCGGGUUGUAAAGCUCUUUUGUCAGGGAAGAAACGGUGAAGGCUAAUAUCCUUUGCUAAUGACGGUACCUGAAGAAUAAGCACCGGCUAACUACGUGCCAGCAGCCGCGGUAAUACGUAGGGUGCAAGCGUUAAUCGGAAUUACUGGGCGUAAAGCGUGCGCAGGCGGUUUUGUAAGUCUGUCGUGAAAUCCCCGGGCUCAACCUGGGAAUUGCGAUGGAGACUGCAAGGCUAGAAUCUGGCAGAGGGGGGUAGAAUUCCACGUGUAGCAGUGAAAUGCGUAGAGAUGUGGAGGAACACCGAUGGCGAANGCAGCCCCCUGGGUCAAGAUUGACGCUCAUGCACGAAAGCGUGGGGAGCAAACAGGAUUAGAUACCCUGGUAGUCCACGCCCUAAACGAUGUCUACUAGUUGUCGGGUUUUAAUUAACUUGGUAACGCAGCUAACGCGUGAAGUAGANCGCCUGGGGAGUACGGUCGCAAGAUUAAAACUCAAAGGAAUUGACGGGGACCCGCACAAGCGGNGGAUGAUGUGGAUUAAUUCGAUGCAACGCGAAAAANCUUACCUACCCUNGACNUGUACGGAAGCCACGANA